UCCUGGCUGGCUCAGUGGUAAAGAGUCUGCCUGCAAUGCAGGAGGCCCAGGUUCAAUCUCUGGGUCAGGAA
rnacentral:tRNA from 1 species